AUUGAACGCUGGCGGCAGGCCUAACACAUGCAAGUCGAGCGGAUGAAGGGAGCUUGCUCCUGGAUUCAGCGGCGGACGGGUGAGUAAUGCCUAGGAAUCUGCCUGGUAGUGGGGGAUAACGUCCGGAAACGGGCGCUAAUACCGCAUACGUCCUGAGGGAGAAAGUGGGGGAUCUUCGGACCUCACGCUAUCAGAUGAGCCUAGGUCGGAUUAGCUAGUUGGUGGGGUAAAGGCCUACCAAGGCGACGAUCCGUAACUGGUCUGAGAGGAUGAUCAGUCACACUGGAGCUGAGACACGGUCCAGACUCCUACGGGAGGCAGCAGUGGGGAAUAUUGGACAAUGAGCGAAAGCCUGAUCCAGCCAUGCCGCGUGUGUGAAGAAGGUCUUCGGAUUGUAAAGCUCUUUAAGUUGGGAGGAAGGGCAGUAAGUUAAUACCUUGCUGUUUUGACGUUACCAACAGAAUAAGCACCGGCUAACUUCGUG
rnacentral:rRNA from 1 species